rnacentral:rRNA from 1 species
UGGGGGAUAUUGCACAAUGGGCGAAAGCCUGAUGCAGCGACGCCGCGUGGGGGAUGAAGGCUUUCGGGUUGUAAACCUCUUUCGCUAUCGAACAAGGCCCGCUUAGGGUGGGUUGAGGGUAGGUGGAGAAGAAGCGCCGGCUAACUACGUGCCAGCAGCCGCGGUAAUACGUAGGGCGCGAGCGUUGUCCGGAAUUAUUGGGCGUAAAGGGCUUGUAGGCGGCUUUUUGCGCCUGCUGUGAAAACGCGGGGCUUAACUUCGCGCGUGCAGUGGGUACGGGCAGGCUUGAGUGUGGUAGGGGUGACUGGAAUUCCAGGUGUAGCGGUGGAAUGCGCAGAUAUCUGGAGGAACACCGAUGGCGAAGGCAGGGCACUGGGCCAUUACUGACGCUGAGGAGCGAAAGCAUGGGUAGCGAACAGG